AAAAAACAAACUUGCAUGAAAUCCACGUUUAUAUGAGAUUUGAAAUCAUUGAAUAAUUCUCUGCUUUUGAUGAAAAACGUAAACAGUCAUUCGCACAACACUUGAUACAUUGGAUACUCGUUGGAAAAGCCGGAAAAAUUAUGGUAAAGGUGUUUACACUCAAUGCAAAAUUGGGGUAAUGGGACAAAAUGCAACAUGUGCCGAUCGGUUUUAGCUUUCACCGUCUAUGAAUUCACCUCGAUAAAAAACACAUCUUAAGCUGUUUACAUGACCUUACACAAUGUUGGCAUAUUAAUCAUAAUCCGUGUAAGAAAGUGCAUGUAAAUGCGCUCACUUUUUUUUUUUACUUGUCACGAUAUAAUGCAGGACUUGUAAAAAGGCUGUUAUUGAUGGAUUGAGAAGUACAAACUAUAAUGGGCCUGAAAUAAAGUCUGCAGAUGUAAUAAUAUAUAGAUUAAACCUCAUAAGUGAAUUAUUUUUUUCUUGAUUUGCAGUCAAAUUGAUUGACUUACACUUUUGAUUCUACUGUACCUUGCAUAUCUGUUCUCACACAGGCCAGCUAGACCUCAGUCUAGACUCUGAGUUUCUCCUGGUCAGUGUGGUUCAAAUCCUUGGAUUCAGUAACUCAGUGUGCAACCCGCUGGUUUAUGCCGCCCUCAACACCACCUUCAAGAGGGACUUGCUAGCUCUGCUCACCCGAAGAUGGUGCUCCGGUAGUCAUUGCUGCUGUAGUCCAAGUUUGUGUUGUUCUUUGAGAAGCCACAAGCGAGUGGGCGUCUCCGCAGUGGAGUCGGUCGAACCCAGACGUGGCCUGGAGAGGACGAGUAGACAAGGAGGAAUCAGAUCAUGGAGUAAACUGGCAUGGGAGCCCGAACCUGAGAGGCGUACAUCCAACUUGUCCCCCCCCAUGAACCUGCUUUGCGCCAUCAGGCCCAAAAAGACCUCCAGUACUAUGAUACUAAGUGUUAUUGACCCACCACAUUCUGGAUAUGAUCAAUCUCUAACAGGGAUGCUGGAUGAGUGAAUGUUAAAAGAAUGAGUCUGCAGUGAUACCUGCCCACCAUCGAAAGUGAAACAAUCCCUGUGUCUGGCUAUGCAUACUUAUGUUCUGCACAGUAUGCAAAGCGCAGUAUGUCCGAAUACUCCAUGUUAAUGAUACAGUAGCCAAACAACCCCCAACUGACUUACUGCAUCUGCUGCGAUUCUGAAAUGUGCAACCAUUGGACACUUUACCAUGCCAAACUGAGCUGUGAGAAUCGAAAAGCUGAAAAUAAAAAAUGGCAGAGGACUAUGAGGCAAGCUGCUCUUUUUAAGUUUUCAAGGUGUCAAGAAAACUGUUGGCUAAAUUGUAGUUUGUAGAUUGUUACACAUGUAUGUUUGUAUUAGAUUAAUCUAAUUUCAUAAAGGGGAAAUACAAAUUCAAUGAGUGGUGUCUUGAGAAACGUGAAGUAAACUGGUUGAAGCCCGUGUGGAAAAGAUUUUGCUGCUGGCACAACGAAAAUCAAGGCAAUGGAAAUCCCACAUGAAAAGCACAGUAUGACCCUCCCAGCCGAAUCCUAUUGCCCUGCUGUGCUCCCCAAAUAUCCCCCAUGGCCAAUGAUGUGGAUGUUCAAACAGGAAACACACUUCCAACAGCCUGCAGCUGCAAAUUUUCAGAUCUUUGAAGCAUGUGUUGCUCAGUGCUACUUUUAGAACUGAGGUUAUAUCUAUGCAAUAAGGAUGGGGGGCGAGUCAACAGAGAAAACGUUUAAAUAAUUUGCUUUUUGGCUGUUAAAGCUAUACUUCCAGUCUCCAAACUUUUGAAGACCUCAUGUGAACAAGACAAGACCAUCAUUAGACUUGGGCUCUGAGCAAGUUGAGAAGUGUGUAACAGCAUCUUGCCUAGGCAACUAUAGUUUGUGUCGACUCGCCACACACUCCAUGAAGACAUCAAAAGUGGAUUUAUAACAUGGCUGUUCUUGGAGAAUUUGCUAUGGGCAAUUGCACGCUAUUCUACACUUAAAACAUCCUAAAGAUAGAUGGAGAAUGCUUGGGAAGUGUCUCGAGUUUCCCUGGGCUCUACAUGGCAUGGAGGAUGAGGAACUGAAUAGGCAAGAGAGCCGAAGAAGAGAGGAGACCAAGGGUUCCAAGAGGGAUUUCCAAGAGCAGAAGAAUUCAAGAGAGUUCUUUCUUGGUAGGAACGUUUUGAACUGAAAUUGGCAGCACCCCAAAAGUGUCCUGAGCCAAUCAGAAAUGGCUUUUCAGAGUCACAUGGUCAACUGGUCUGUCCUUUUCAAAGUUGAUUUACAAUUCUUUGUGUGGAGGAUUCUUUGAACUCUCAAUGAUUUGAUUUUAUCAAAAAUGACUUUUGUUUUUCAAAUUGUGAUGGUGCUGUUUAUUUACAUCAGUAAUGUCCUGACUAUACUUUGUGAUCAGUUGAAUGACACUUUGGUGAAAUACAUGAUCAAUUUCCUUCUGAAACAGGUAAAUCUGUAAAUUAUUCAAAACC